UUCCCGUCGUUCGCCCGCGGAUGUAGCCAAGUGGAUCAAGGCAGUGGAUUGUGGAUCCACCAUGCGCGGGUUCAA
rnacentral:tRNA from 1 species